rnacentral:rRNA from 1 species
CGCGUAGGCGGGGAUUUAAGUCAGGAGUGUAAACUAUCGGCUCAACCGGUAGCUUGCUUCUGAAACUGAAUUUCUUGAGGGUAUGAGAGGAAAGCGGAAUUCCCAGUGUAGCGGUGAAAUGCGUAGAUAUUGGGAGGAACACCAGUGGCGAAGGCGGCUUUCUGGCAUACAACUGACGCUGAGGCGCGAAAGCGUGGGGAGCAAACG